rnacentral:tRNA from 1 species
GGGGGUGUAGCUCAGUGGCACAGUGCCUGCCUGGCAAGCAUGGGGCCCUGAGUUGGAUUCCUGGCACCACCC